UUUCCUCUUCUAUUUUUCUCAGCUUUCUUCCUACGGGGGUGAGCAGUGGGGAAUUUUGGACAAUGGGCGAAAGCCUGAUCCAGCAAUGCCGCGUGUGUGAAGAAGGCCUUCGGGUUGUAAAGCACUUUUGUCCGGAAAGAAAUGGCUCUGGUUAAUACCUGGGGUCGAUGACGGUACCGGAAGAAUAAGGACCGGCUAACUACGUGCCAGCAGCCGCGGUAAUACGUAGGGUCCAAGCGUUAAUCGGAAUUACUGGGCGUAAAGCGUGCGCAGGCGGUUGUGCAAGACCGAUGUGAAAUCCCCGAGCUUAACUUGGGAAUUGCAUUGGUGACUGCACGGCUAGAGUGUGUCAGAGGGGGGUAGAAUUCCACGUGUAGCAGUGAAAUGCGUAGAGAUGUGGAGGAAUACCGAUGGCGAAGGCAGCCCCCUGGGAUAACACUGACGCUCAUGCACGAAAGCGUGGGGAGCAAACAGGAUUAGAUACCCUGGUAGUCCACGCCCUAAACGAUGUCAACUAGUUGUUGGGGAUUCAUUUCCUUAGUAACGUAGCUAACGCGUGAAGUUGACCGCCUGGGGAGUACGGUCGCAAGAUUAAAACUCAAUAAUUUUGAAGGGG
rnacentral:rRNA from 1 species